rnacentral:lncRNA from 1 species
CAAGAUCUCACUACGUGGCUGAAUUGCCCAGGCUGGGCUGGAACAUGCGAUCCGCCUGUCUCAGCCUCCUGGAGUGUUGAGAAUACAGGUGUGCACCGCCACGCGGACCUUAUAUUUUACAUUUUUCAUACUAAGCCUGUGCCACCCAGAGUGUUACACUACCGCCCAUCUCAGUACGCCUGCGCUACACUUCCGGGCUCAGAGCCCACGUGGCUGCCGCGAUGGACCGCGGCGCUGCAGAGCCCCGGAGGCGGCAAGGAGGAGGACGCAGCGAGCAGGUGUCUGGCUUGUCCCCCAGGGAACCACAGCAGAGCUCAGCUGUCCUGGUCCACAGGGGAGACGUCACCCACGGACCACACACCUCCUGCCACUGGAGGCCCCUGCUGGUGACCGCACAGUCCCCAUCCUCCUGACACCAGAAGCCAACGAGGACUCGGGCAGCUGCCAUCACCAGGCUUGUGCUGACUCCUUCCUAGACGGCAGGGACUCUCCAGGGCAGCAGCUCCCCUGGGGGUAGGGGUCCCUCAGGAAGACCCCGUUCAACCCGGGUUCCAGUCCUGUGACUUGGUCAUCAACUGAACUGGUCACUCAGUGAAGAAUUCUAUGUAGUCUGUACAUUACAAUAUUCAGAACAAAGACAUGGUCAAAGGAAGCUCCAGCUUGAUGACUUCGCUUUUAUUUGCAUAACUCUUCCAUGCGGUACUGUAAUGUAUAACAGAACAUAAAGCUACAGCACUGUACUGUGCAGUACUAUCAGCAAAAAUUACAGCACUGAAUAAACAGGGUGUACUGUACAAUAAAAAGACAUUGAAGUUCUAUAAACAAGAUGUACAGAACUGUACAAAAAAAAAAGAUGGCUCAUAAAUCUGAGCAGAGGAUCUUAUGCCUCGGCCAUAAAUCUGAAGAGUAAACAGAUCGGUCAUUUAACAAGGAACAUCAUAGGGGCUGGAGAUUUAGCUCAGUGGUUCUGCCACCUGCCUUGAAAGCGCAAGGUCCUGAGUUUGAUCCCCGGUACCAAAAAAAAAAACAACAAAAAAACAAGGAAUGUCACACUGGAGCUCGAACCUCAGGCCUUUGCACUGAGCCACAUCUCAGGCCUUUUGGUCUGAGUCUACAUGGGUAUGAUUCUAAGUGUGUGUUUGAAUAUGGAUACACAUGUGACUGUAUCUCUCUGCAUGUGUGUAUAUGUGUUUCUAUAUCCGUCUGCAAGUGUGUGUGUGUGCAUGUA